CUCUACUAUUAUCUAGUAUUACUAUAUUUUUCCAUUAACAUAAAAAAGCAUAUUCUUUCUCAUUUUUAUUGAAUAAAUAAAAGUAAUAAAUAAGCAAAAUUUUCAUUUUUAUCUAGAAUUUAAAUUGUAAAAAAAAAAAAAACUUCAUAAAAGAUUAGGAAAAGUAAAAGUAUAUGAUAUAGAAACCUAUAAUAUAAAUGAAUACAAAUAAAAACAAACAAAUCGAACCAAAUUAUAAAAAGUACUUGUUAUUUUUAAAGUUUAAAGAAACUAUGUAAGGCAAAUAGUACUAAAUAAAAAAAGGAGCAAUAACGCCCUCUUGUUUUAUCAAGAGGGAAGCUAUUGCUCCUUUUUUAGUUCAAAAACUCCUAUACAAUCAGACCAAAGUC
rnacentral:misc_RNA from 2 species